GGGGGGAGGGGAGGGAGGGGAGAGGAGGGGAGAGGAGAGGCAUAUUAGAAAAAAGAAAAGCUCAUAGAUUAAUUUAAUAAUGGGAUUAAAUAUUUUUUCUGGCAGGAAGCAUUCCUCUAGGAUCUAAAAUAUGAUGUACGGAUGAGAAGGAGUCAUGCCCAGAUCGCAAAAUGCCGUGACUAUAAGAUGUACAGGGGCCUUUGGGCUUUGGUGGCUGACAAGCAAACUUCAGACAAGUUUGGAAGUUAAGAGGGAAACAUCCCAGGAUCUGCUGCUUAACCGCAGACUUUCAAAAUAUGCUUAUCUUUCCAUAGAAAAUGGAAAAACGUACCAGUUCCAAGACAUACCACUGGGAUUCCUUUUCAAUUGGCCUAGAUGGUGGACCAGCUCUCCUACAGCUAAUGGGAGUAGCAGUUUUUAGAAAUCAGGCUGUCAGAUAAGAAUUCAUGGAGUUAUAAUAUAUAAUGUUGUCCUAAAGCAAUCUUUAUGAUGAAACUGACAUGUUCUGGGCUCUGUGGCAGACCUGGGAAGUUAAACAUGUCUCGUCUUGGCUAUUUUAGAGGCUCAAAUAGGAUUAAGGCUGAGAAAUGGAGGUAAAGGGCAACAUGAAAAAACUCAAGAAUGCACUCUUUCUUAUCUUUAAAAGUAUGCUCAUAUUGAAUGGUCUUGCAGAAGUCACUUAAAUAGCAGACAAUUGAUCACUUGGCUUAAUGCAACUGCACUGUGUGUAGUAAGGAAUUCCUCAUUUUUUUGAACGAUCUAAGUUGCCACCAUGAAAGAACAUUCUCAGUUCUUAUUACAUUUGUUGACAUUGCGUGUUGCCAUGCACAGAAUCAUGUUUUUCCACAGCACUUGAGCAUAUUUUGAACUAUUUAUUUUAACUGUUUUCUCCAAUAAUUUCAUAUGUACCACCAAGAUAGAAGCAACCCUUGAAGCAAAGCACUGUGCAAGGAUGACAGGAUGCAGAAGCCAGAAAAAAGCUAUCAGUGUAUACAAACUACCACAGAAUACCAUCUUUGCUCUGCUUUUCUAUUUAUCAUGGCAGAAUAUGAGUCAGAGAACUGCUUAAAAUAACUUUUUAAAAGAUUUUUUUGCAAGGUGUCUGCUGCACCAGAACUAUGCAAUAAGACAGUGGUUCUAGUGCUCUUGCAUGGUCAUAGCACAAACAUGAUGAUGAUUCAAAACAAAUAAAUAAACAAAUACAUAUAUAUGCA
ensembl:lncRNA